GGUCGCAUGGUUUAGUUGGUUAGGACGCCUCCCUGUCACGGAGGAGAUCAUGGGUUCGAGUCCCAUUGCGACCG
rnacentral:tRNA from 1 species